AAUUUCCCAAACUGGGAUUAGAUACCCCACUAUGCUUAGCCCUAAACACAGAUAAUUACAUAAACAAAAUUAUUCGCCAGAGUACUACUAGCAACAGCUUAAAACUCAAAGGACUUGGCGGUGCUUUAUAUCCUUCUAGAGGAGCCUGUUCUAUAAUCGAUAAACCCCGAUAAACCUCACC
rnacentral:rRNA from 1 species